UAAAUCAGAAUUGUCAUAUUGAAUUAUGAGUGAUGCUUAGAAGGGUCCUUGGGAAGUGCAGAAGCAGACAUUUUUGUCCCUUUUAGAUGAGACUAUUUUUAGACUUUUCUUUUUAGUAGGAGGCUAAAGUAGCUUAAGCUAUUAAGGUUUGUUAUGCUUAUGUCUGCAGGAAGAAGUAGCUAAAAACUUGUUAGCUGAAUUUAACUUGGGAUGUGAUGUUCACCAAACUGAGCAUGUGUAUCGAGUCUAUGUGGCCACGUUUCUUGGGUUUGGUGGCAAUGCUGCUCGACAGAGAUACGAAGACAGAAUAUUUGCCAACACCAUUCAAAAGAACAGGCUCCUGGGUAAACAGACUGGUCUGACUCCUGAUAUGCCGUACUUGGACCCCUGCCUACCCCUAGACAUUAAAGAUGAAAUCCAGCAAAAUGGACAAACCAUAUACCUACGAGGGACUGGAGACUUUGACCUGUGUCGAGAGACUAUCCAGCCUUUCAUGAAUAAAACAAACGAGACCCAGACUUCCCUCAAUGGGGUCUACCAGCCCCCAAUUCACUUCCAGAA
rnacentral:lncRNA from 1 species